rnacentral:rRNA from 1 species
AACGAACGCUGGCGGCGCGCCUAAUACAUGCAAGUCGAGCGAGAAGACGUAGCAAUACGUUUGUAAAGCGGCGAACGGGUGAGGAAUACAUGGGUAACCUACCCUCGAGUGAGGAAUAACUAGCCGAAAGGUUAGCUAAUACCGCGUACGCUCCUUGGACUUCGGUUCAGGGAGGAAAGCGAUACCGUGGGUAUCGCGCUCUUGGAUGGGCUCAUGUCCUAUCAGCUUGUUGGUGAGGUAACGGCUCACCAAGGCUUCGACGGGUAGCUGGUCUGAGAGGACGAUCAGCCACACUGGCACUGCGACACGGCCCCGACUCCGUACGGAGGCAGCAGUGGGGAAGUUUCCGUCAAUGGGCGAAGCCUGACGGAGUGACGCCGCGUGUGGGACGAAGGCCUC